GAUGAACGCUGGCGGCGUGCCUAAUACAUGCAAGUCGAGCGAACAGACGAGAAGCUUGCUCCUCUGAUGUUAGCGGCGGACGGGUGAGUAACACGUGGAUAACCUACCUAUAAGACUGGGAUAACUUCGGGAAACCGGAGCUAAUACCGGAUAAUAUAUUGAACCGCAUGGUUCAAUAGUAAAAGACGGUUUUGCUGUCACUUAUAGAUGGAUCCGCGCUGCAUUAGCUAGUUGGUAAGGUAACGGCUUACCAAGGCAACGAUGCAUAGCCGACCUGAGAGGGGGUUCGCCAACACGGAAACUGAGCAAGGGCCCGAAUACUGAGGGGAGGCAGCGGAGGGGAAUCUCCGGAAUGGGGCGAAGGCCGGCGGGGGCAAGGCGGCGGAGGGAAUAAGGGCUUUCGAUUCGUAAAACGCGGUAUUAGGGAAGAAAAAAAUGGUUAGGAAACGAUGCCCGCUUGGCGGGUACUAAACAAGAAGGCAACGGUAAAUACGGG
rnacentral:rRNA from 1 species